rnacentral:rRNA from 1 species
CCAGCAGCCGCGGUAAUUCCAGCUCCAAUAGCGUAUACUAAAGUUGUUGCAGUUAAAAAGCUCGUAGUUGAAUUUCUGGUCGUGGCAAUCGGUCAGCCCCUCACGGGGUUCGUACCAGGUUGCUGCGUCCAUCCUCGGGGAGAGCACAUCGGGCAUUCAGUUGUCUGGUGUGGGAUCCUCGUCAUUUACUGUGAGCAAAAUAGAGUGUUCAAAGCAGGCUUAGGCCGUUGAAUACAUUAGCAUGGAAUAAUAAGAUAGGACCUUGGUCUAUUUUGUUGGUUUGCGUUCCAAGGUAAUGAUUAAUAGGGAUAGUUGGGGGUAUUCGUAUUCAAUUGUCAGAGGUG